rnacentral:lncRNA from 1 species
AACAAUCUAACAGAAUGAACAUCCCAUAACAGAAGUUAAAACCAUUUUAACUAACUCAUUUUCUAACUAACUAUUGAAUUUCCUAUGAAUUUCAAUUUGAAUCUCAUUGGAAUUUCUAGCAGAACCUGUGCUAUAUAUAUUCAUUCACGCUUCAGAAGGGAGAAAAAAUCACAAAAAGAAUUCAGAUCCAGUUUUCGUCUCCUUCAAUACACACUAUUGAACUCUCUUCGCGACUUACAACAGAAACGCGUCACAAUCC